GAUGAACGCUAGCUACAGGCUUAACACAUGCAAGUCGAGGGGUAACGAGAGGAAAGCUUGCUUUCCUUGUCGACGACCGGCGCACGGGUGAGUAACGCGUAUCCAACCUGCCCCCAACUAGGGAAUAACCUUGCGAAAGUAAGACUAAUACCCUAUAAUUUCCUCAGAUGUCAUCUGACGAGGAAUAAAGAUUUAUCGGUUGUGGAUGGGGAUGCGUCUGAUUAGCUUGUUGGCGGGGUAACGGCCCACCAAGGCAACGAUCAGUAGGGGUUCUGAGAGGAAGGUCCCCCACAUUGGAACUGAGACACGGUCCAAACUCCUAGGGGAGGCAGCAGUGAGGAAUAUUGGUCAAUGGGCGGAAGCCUGAACCAGUCAAGUAGCGUGCAGGAUGACGGCCCUAUGGGUUGUAAGCUGCUUUUAUACAGGAAUAAAGUUAGCCACGUGUGGUUAUUUGUAGGUACUGUAUGAAUAAGGACCGGCUAAUUCCGUGCCAGCCGCCGCGGUAAUAC
rnacentral:rRNA from 1 species